rnacentral:rRNA from 1 species
UACGAAGGGGGCUAGCGUUGUUCGGAUUUACUGGGCGUAAAGCGCACGUAGGCGGAUUGGUCAGUUAGGGGUGAAAUCCUGGAGCUCAACUCCAGAACUGCCUUUAAUACUGCCAAUCUCGAGUCCGGAAGAGGUAAGUGGAACUCCUAGUGUAGAGGUGGAAUUCGUAGAUAUUAGGAAGAACACCAGUGGCGAAGGCGGCUUACUGGUCCGGUACUGACGCUGAGGUGCGAAAGCGUGGGGAGCAAACAGGAUUAGAAACCC